UACGUAGGGUGCAAGCGUUGUCCGGAAUCAUUGGGCGUAAAGAGCUCGUAGGCGGCUUGUUGCGUCGACUGUGAAAACCUGCGGCUCAACCGUGUGGUCUGCAGUCGAUACGGGCAGGCUGGAGUUCGGUAGGGGAGACUGGAAUUCCUGGUGUAGCGGUGAAAUGCGCAGAUAUCAGGAGGAACACCGGUGGCGAAGGCGGGUCUCUGGGCCGAUACUGACGCUGAGGAGCGAAAGCGUGGGGAGCGAACAGG
rnacentral:rRNA from 1 species